UGCUGGCUUUCAAAUUCUGCUUCGGAAGUCCUGGUUGCAGUUGGUGCAUAGAUGUCUAGGAGUAUUCUAGCACCAGUUGAAAUCAGUGUUUUCGACAGACAUCCAGCUGAGGAGAAAGA
rnacentral:pre_miRNA from 10 species